GAGGCUAUAGCUCAAGUGGUAGAGCGCAUGCUUAGCAUGCACGAGGUCCUAGGUUCAAUCCCCAGUACCACCU
rnacentral:tRNA from 1 species